rnacentral:rRNA from 1 species
GUGCCAGCAGCCGCGGUAAUUCCAGCUCCGCUAGCGUAUUUUAAAGUCGCUGCAGUUAAAAAGCUCGUAGUUGAACCUUGGGCCUGGUGGGGAAGUCCGCCUCACCGCGUCCAGAGCUCCGGUCGAGACUUUCCUUCUGGGGAGCCGUGUGCCCUUCCCUGAUAUGAUUGGGGAACCAGGACUUUUACUUUGAAAAAAUUAAAGUGUACUGAGAAGGCCUUUGCUCGAAUACAUUAUGAUGCUAAAAUAGAAUAGGACGUGCGUCUCUAUUUUGUUGAUUUCUAGGACCGCCGUAAUGAUUAAUAGGUUAGCCGGGCGCAUCAGAAUUCAAUUGCCACAGAGGAAAUUCUUGAAUUUAUCGAACAGUAACUACUGCCCAAGAGUUUGCCACUCAUGGUUUCAUUAGUCAGUGAACGAAAGUUAGGGGAUCGAAGACGAUCAGAUACCGUCGCGAGGAAACCCAUAAACUAUGCCGACUAGGCAUCGGGCGAUGUUAUCAUCUUGACGCGCUCGUAGCCUUACGAGAAAUCGCAGCCUGUGCGUCGUCGGCUCGUGCUGUGCGCAAGGGUGAAACUUAAAGAAACUAGCGCAAGGCCUCUCCCUAGUGGGGAGCCUGCGACUUUAGUAGACUCAGCAAACUGCACUCACCAGGUCCAGACAAGAUAAGGAUUGUGAGAUUGAGAGCUCUCUCUUGUUCUUGUGGCUACACGCGCAUGACCGGUCGUAGUCGAAGGAGUGAUUACGUCUUGCUUUAUUUACCGAAAUCCCAACGAAACCCUUAUCUACUCAAAUCGCAGGCUGCGACUUCGGCGGCCUUGCAGCUGUCAUCGAGAGACUAUCGGACUUCAAGCCGAGAGACGUUGAAUGCCAUUCCCGGAGCUUGGA